CCUCUAGUGACAGUGAUGGAAAAAAUUUAACAUUCGAAGAAUUACGAAUAAAGUUACUUCGACAAUAAUUUAUUGGUCGAAAUAUAAUAAUAAUUGCAAAUAAUUGUAUUUUUUCAAUGGCCAACUCUGCCCUGCGACGAAUCAUCAUGGAAGUAGAGAUCUUAACCACCAGUGAUUGGACAAAAUUUAACAAUCGAAGUUACGAUUAAAGUUACUUUGAUAAUUUAUUGUUCAAAACGUAAAAAUAGUUGCAAAUAAUUGUAAUAGCCUGAAAAGUGGAUCGAUCGUAAUAGUUACAAAUAAAAAUAUUUUUAAUAAAUAAUUACUUAAAAUAACUUUA